rnacentral:misc_RNA from 1 species
UCUCCGUUGGUGAACCAGCGGAGGGAUCAUUACCGAGUUCCAGCAACUCCCAACCCUUGCGAACCGUACCCCAAUCUGUUCUCGUUCCGUCCGGCCGGCGGGGGGGUCCACCUGGCCCCUCCCCCUCCCGGGGGCGGCGGGCCCUCUGACAAUUUAUAUCUCAACCGCUGACACCCGUCUGAGCAAAACAAAAAAUAAUCAAAACUUUCAACAACGGAUCUCUUGGCUCUG